AUUGAACGCUAGCGGCAGGCCUAACACAUGCAAGUCGAGCGAGCGGCGGACGGGUGAGUAAUGUAUGGGGACUGCCCGAUAGCGGGGGAUAACUACUGGAAACGGUGGCUAAUACCGCAUACUAUCGGAUAACCCAUAUGGGAUUAGCUAGUAGGUGGGGUAAAGGCGCACCUAGGCCACUAUCCCUAGCUGGUCUUAGAGGAUGAUCAGCCAAACGGGGACUGAGACACGGCCCAGACUCCUACGGAGGCAGCAGUGGGAAAUAUUGCACAAUGGGCGCAAGCCUGAUGCAGCCAGGCCGCGUGUAUGAAGAAGGCCUUAGGGUUGUAAAGUACUGGCAGCAGGGAGGCGUUACCCGCAGAAGAAGCACCGGCGAACUCCGUGCCAGGAGACGCGGUAAUAC
rnacentral:rRNA from 1 species